rnacentral:rRNA from 1 species
UUCCUAGGGAGGCAGCAGUCGGGAGUAUUGCGCAAUGGAGGAAACUCUGACGCAGUGACGCCGCGUAUAGGAAGAAGGUCUUCGGAUUGUAAACUAUUGUCGUUAGGGAAGAAAAAGGACAGUACCUAAGGAGGAAGCUCCGGCUAACUACGUGCCAGCAGCCGCGGUAAUACGUAGGGAGCGAGCGUUAUCCGGAUUUAUUGGGUGUAAAGGGUGCGUAGACGGGAAUUUAAGUUAGUUGUGAAAUCCCUCGGCUCAACUGAGGAACUGCAACUAAAACUGGAUUUCUUGAGUGCUGGAGAGGA